UACGGAGGGCGCGAGCGUUAAUCGGAAUCACUGGGCGUAAAGCGCGCGCAGGCGGCCUUCCGAGUCCCGCGUGAAAGCCCCGGGCUCAACCUGGGAACGGCGCGGGAUACUGGGAGGCUGGAGUGCUGGAGAGGGGUGUGGAAUUUCCGGUGUAGCAGUGAAAUGCGUAGAGAUCGGAAGGAACACCAGUGGCGAAGGCGGCACCCUGGACAGACACUGACGCUGAGGCGCGAAAGCGUGGGGAG
rnacentral:rRNA from 1 species